GAUGAACGCUGGCGGCAGGCCUGACACAUGCAAGUCGAACGGUUAGCACAGGGGAGCUUGCUCCUCGGGUGACGAGUGGCGGACGGGUGAGUAAUGUCUGGGGAUCUGCCCGAUGGAGGGGGAUAACUACUAGAAACGGUAGCUAAUACCGUAUAACGUCGCAAGACCAAAGUGGGGGACCUUCGGGCCUCACACCAUCGGAUGAACCCAGAUGGGAUUAGCUAGUAGGCGGGGUAAUGGCCCACCUAGGCGACGAUCCCUAGCUGGUCUGAGAGGAUGACCAGCCACACUGGAACUGAGACACGGUCCAGACUCCUACGGGAGGCAGCAGUGGGGAAUAUUGCACAAUGGGCGCAAGCCUGAUGCAGCCAUGCCGCGUGUAUGAAGAAGGCCUUCGGGUUGUAAAGUACUUUCAGCGGGGAGGAAGGCGGUGCGGUUAAUAACCGCGCCGAUUGACGUUACCCGCAGAAGAAGCACCGGCUAACUCCGUGCCAGCAGCCGCAGUAAAAC
rnacentral:rRNA from 1 species